rnacentral:rRNA from 1 species
AACCUCCGCAAUGUGAGAAAUCGCGACGGGGGGAUCCCAAGUGCCAUUCUUAACGGGAUGGCUUUUCAUUAGUGUAAAGAGCUUUUGGAAUAAGGGCUGGGCAAGACCGGUGCCAGCCGCCGCGGUAACACCGGCAGCUCUAGUGGUAGCAGUUUUUAUUGGGCCUAAAGCGUCCGUAGCCGGUUUAAUAAGUCUCUGGUGAAAUCCUGUAGCUUAACUGUGGGAAUUGCUGGAGAUACUAUUAGACUUGAGACCGGGAGAGGUUAGAGGUACUCCCAGGGUAGAGGUGAAAUUCUGUAAUCCUGGGAGGACCGCCUGUUGCGAAGGCGUCUAACUGGAACGGUUCUGACGGUGAGGGACGAAAGUUAGGGGCGCGAAACCGGAUUAGAUACCCGGGUAGUCCUAACCGUAAACGAUGCGGACUUGGUGUUGGGGUGGCUUUGAGCUGCUCCAGUGCCGAAGGGAAGCUGUUAAGUCCGCCGCCUGGGAAGUACGGUCGCAAGACUGAAACUUAAAGGAAUU